UCAAAUCAAGAAGAGCACGAGGCGGAUGCCUUGGCACAUGGCGCCGAAGAAGGACGCGAGCAGGCGAUAACUGCGGUUUGUUGCAAAAAACGUAGCCGCAGGUUUCCGAAUGGAGCAAUCCGGCAGGGGAAGACCCUGUCAUCGUAACAUGAAUCCAUAGUGUUACGAGGGGAGACCCGGGGAACUGAAACAUCUCAGUACCCGGAGGAAAAGAAAGAAACAUCGAUUCUCUCAGUAGCGGCGAGCGAACGGGGAACAGGCCAACGGUGCAUACGCACAACCGGCAGUCAGUCGAAGUCUUUUGGAAAAAGACACCAAAGAAGGUGAAAGUCCUGUAGACGAAGACAAGCGGUUGGCAGCACGAACGAGUAGCGUCGGACACGAGAAAUCCGGCGUGAAUACGGGAGGACCUCCUCCUAAGCCUAAAUACGACCAUGUGACCGAUAGUGAACAAGUACCGUGAGGGAAAGGUGAAAAGAACCCCGCAAGGGGAGUGAAAUAGAAUCUGAAACCUUGUGCUUACAAGCAGAUAGAGCCUUCGUAAGAGGGUGAUAUCGUACUUUUUGUAGAACGGGCCAGCGAGUGAUCUUUCCAAGCAAGGUUAAGCCCUAGAGGGGCGUAGCCGGAGGGAAACCGAGUGUGAACAGCGCGCAGAGUUUGGGAGGAUCGACCCGAAACCAGGUGAUCUAUCCAUGAGCAGAGUGAAGUUGAAGUAAAAUUCAAUGGAGGCUCGAACCGGGUACGGUUUAAAACGUAUCGGAUGACUUGUGGAUAGGGGUGAAAAGCCAAUCGAACCUGGAGAUAGCUGGUUCUCCUCGAAAUAGCUUUAGGGCUAGCCUUACGUGUAAGAUCCCAGGGGGUAGAGCACUGAAUGGUCGCGGGGCGCGAUGCGUUACCAACACCUAUCAAACUGCGAAUCCCUGCGGAUUAUCCGUAGGAGUCAGACAGUGAGGGAUAAGCUUCAUUGUCGAAAGGGAAACAGCCCAGACCGCCGGUUAAGGUCCCCAAGAGGUGUUCAGUGGGAAAGGAUGUAAUUCUACACAGACAACCAGGAUGUUGGCUCAGAAGCAGCCAUCCAUUUAAAGAGUGCGUAAUAGCUCACUGGUCAAGUGGAGUCGCGCCGAAGAUACACGGGGCUAAACACCGCACCGAAGCCGCGGGAUUGAUCGAGACAAGAAGGAAGCAUCAAGAAAGCUUGGAGAUUGGAUUGGAAGUACGCAAACGAAGAGAAAAGACAUUGAAAAAAGCAGGUUGUCCUUGAUGAAGGAUACAGAAACUUUCAAUGCAAUUUCACAAAGAAUUGGUGAUUCCUUUUUGUCUUGACAAUCGGUAGAGGAGCAUCGUGUUUGCGCCGAAGCGGGUCGGGGAACCGUCCGUGGAGCGAACACGAGAGAGAAUGCUGGCAUGAGUAGCGAGAAGGUGAGUGAGAAUCUCACCCGUCGAAAGCCGAAGGAUUCCUGAGCAAGGCUCGUCCUCUCAGGGUUAGUCGGGACCUAAGCCCAGGCCGAAAGGCGUAGGCGAUGGAUAUCCGGUGGAGAUUCCGGAACUGGGAAAGUUCGUUUGAGAGAAGUGUUGACGCAGAAGGAUAGGAGAGGCGCACGGAAGGUAGGGUGCGUCCAAGGGGGUAGGUAGGCAGGAUAGGCAAAUCCGUCCUGCUGGUACUGAGACCUGAUGGGGAUCGAAAAAUAAGUAGAGAAGUCUCUGAUUCCCGGCUGCCAAGAAAAGACGCUAUCGAGAACUUUUUCACCCGUACCAAAACCGACACAGGUAGGCAGGAAGAGAAUUCUAAGACGCGCGGAAGAACCUUUGUUAAGGAACUCGGCAAAAUGACCCCGUAACUUCGGGAGAAGGGGUGCCGCGGAAAAAGUAGGCUAUACGCUGAGGAAAACACGCGGUCGCAGAGAAGAGGCCCAAGCGACUGUUUACCAAAAACACAAGUAUCUGCGAAGUCGCAAGACGAAGUAUAGGUGCUGACACCUGCCCGGUGCUGGAAGGUUAAGGGGACGUGUAAGCGCAAGCGAAGCAUGGAACUUAAGCCCCAGUAAACGGCGGCCGUAACUAUAACGGUCCUAAGGUAGCGAAAUUCCUUGUCGGGUAAGUUCCGACCCGCACGAAAGGUGUAACGAUUUGGGCGCUGUCUCAACAAAGGAUCCGGUGAAAUUGUAGUAGUCGUGAAGAUGCGACUUACCCACGCUAGGACGGAAAGACCCCAUGGAGCUUUACUGCAGGCUGACAUUGGAUUUUGAUUUGUGCUGUACAGGAUAGGUGGGAGGCGAGGAACGCGGUUCGUCAGGGCCGCGGGAGCCAUUGGUGGGAUACCACCCUUUGCAGAUUAGAAUUCUAACGUCGAACCCUAAACGGGUUUGCGGACACUGUCAGUUGGACAGUUUGACUGGGGCGGUCGCCUCCUAAAGAGUAACGGAGGCGUUCGAAGGUUCGCUCCGAAUGGACGGAAACCAUUCAAAGAGUAUAAAGGCAAAAGCGAGCUUGACUGUGAGAGCCACAACUCGAACAGAUACGAAAGUAGGACUUAGUGAUCCGGUGGUACCGAGAGGAAGGGCCAUCGCUUAACGGAUAAAAGCUACCCUGGGGAUAACAGGCUUAUACCCCCCAAGAGUUCACAUCGACGGGGGUGUUUGGCACCUCGAUGUCGGCUCGUCUCAUCCUGGAGCUGGAGCAGGUUCCAAGGGUUGGGCUGUUCGCCCAUUAAAGAGGCACGCGAGCUGGGUUCAGAACGUCGUGAGACAGUUCGGUCCCUAUCCAGCGUGGGCGUAGGAAAUUUGCGGGGAGCUGUCCCUAGUACGAGAGGACCGGGAUGGACGGACCAACGGUGAAUCAGUUGUCCUGCCAAGGGCAGCGCUGAGUAGCUGCGUCCGGAAGGAAUAAGCGCUGAAGGCAUCUAAGCGCGAAGUCCUCCUCAAGAUGAGAUUUCUAAAAGAGACCACACAGAAAAGGUGGUAGAUAGGCCGCAGGUGGAAGUGCAGCAAUGCAUGGAGCUGAGCGGUACUAAGCACUCGAGAAUUUGACCG
rnacentral:rRNA from 1 species